AACGAACGCUGGCGGCAGGCCUAACACAUGCAAGUCGAGCGAGAUCUUCGGGUCUAGCGGCGGACGGGUGAGUAACGCGUGGGAAUAUGCCUCUUGGUACGGAAUAGCCUCGGGAAACUGGGAGUAAUACCGUAUGUGCCCUUUGGGGGAAAGAUUUAUCGCCAAGAGAUUAGCCCGCGUUGGAUUAGGUAGUUGGUGGGGUAAUGGCCUACCAAGCCGACGAUCCAUAGCUGGUUUGAGAGGAUGAUCAGCCACACUGGGACUGAGACACGGCCCAGACUCCUACGGGAGGCAGCUGUGGGGAAUCUUAGACAAUGGGGGCAACCCUGAUCUAGCCAUGCCGCGUGAGUGAUGAAGGCCUUAGGGUUGUAAAGCUCUUUCAGCUGGGAAGAUAAUGACGGUACCAGCAGAAGAAGCCCCGGCUAACUCCGUG
rnacentral:rRNA from 1 species